GAACGCUGGCGGCAGGCCUAACACAUGCAAGUCGAGCGGCAGCACAGCAGUAGCAAUACUGUGGGUGGCGAGCGGCGGACGGGUGAGGAACACAUCGGAAUCUACCCUGUCGUGGGGGACAACGUAGGGAAACUUACGCUAAUACCGCAUACGACCUUUGGGUGAAAGUGGGGGACCCGCAAGGGCCUCACGCGAUUGGAUGAGCCGAUGUCCGAUUAGCUAGUUGGCGGGGUAAUGGCCCACCAAGGCGACGAUCGGUAGCUGGUCUGAGAGGACGACCAGCCACACUGGAACUGAGACACGGUCCAGACUCCUACGGGAGGCAGCAGUGGGGAAUAUUGGACAAUGGGGGCAACCCUGAUCCAGCCAUGCCGCGUGGGUGAAGAAGGCCUUCGGGUUGUAAAGCCCUUUUGUACGGGAAGAAAAGCUUCCGGUGAAUAUCCGGGAGUCAUGACGGUACCGUAAGAAUAAGCACCGGCUAACUUCGUGCCAGCAGCCGCGGUAAUACGAAGGGUGCAAGCGUUACUCGGAAUUACUGGGCGUAAAGCGUGCGUAGGUGGUGAGUUAAGUCUGAUGUGAAAUCCCCGGGCUCAACCUGGGAAUGGCAUUGGAUACUGGCUCGCUAGAGUGCGGUAGAGGGUGGUGGAAUUCCCGGUGUAGCAGUGAAAUGCGUAGAGAUCGGGAGGAACAUCUGUGGCGAAGGCGGCCACCUGGACCAACACUGACACUGAGGCACGAAAGCGUGGGGAGCAAACAGGAUUAGAUACCCUGGUAGUCCACGCCCUAAACGAUGCGAACUGGAUGUUGGGUGCAACUUGGCACUCAGUAUCGAAGCUAACGCGUUAAGUUCGCCGCCUGGGGAGUACGGUCGCAAGACUGAAACUC
rnacentral:rRNA from 1 species